rnacentral:rRNA from 1 species
CCUACGGGAGGCAGCAGUGGGGAAUAUUGCGCAAUGGCCGAAAGGCUGACGCAGCGACGCCGCGUGGGGGAUGAAGCAUUUCGGUGUGUAAACCCCUGUUGCUCGGGACGAACAACUGGAUUUGUCCAGUCUGACGGUACCGGGUGAGGAAGCACCGGCUAACUCCGUGCCAGCAGCCGCGGUAAUACGGAGGGUGCGAGCGUUGUCCGGAAUCACUGGGCGUAAAGGGCGCGUAGGCGGUCUGCUAAGCGUGUGGUGAAAGCUCGGGGCUCAACCCCGAGUCUGCCAUGCGAACUGGUGGACUAGAGCACUGUAGAGGCAGGUGGAAUUCCGGGUGUAGCGGUGGGAUGCGUAGAGAUCCGGAAGAACACCGGUGGCGAAGGCGGCCUGCUGGGCAGUAGCUGACGCUGAGGCGCGACAGCGUGGGGAGCAAACAGGAUUAGAUACCCUGGUAGUCCACGCCGUAAACGAUGGGGACUAGGUGCUUGGGGGAGCGACCCCUCGAGUGCCGGCGCUAACGCAUUAAGUCCCCCGCCUGGGGAGUACGGCCGCAGGCUGAAACUCAAGGAUUGACGG